rnacentral:lncRNA from 1 species
GACGGGAUGGUCAGACUAAUUGAGAUGAACAAGGUGAUCAGGAUAGACAGAUUGAUCGGGAUGGACAAGCUAACGGGAUAGCCAUAAUGAAUUAGGUUGGCCGAUCUAGCCAAGUAAGCCUAGAUGGUCGGGAUGACUUGAUGGUUGGGAUGGAUGAUAUGGUUGGCUAGACGAAAUGGAUGGGCUGGCGAGAUGGACGGGAUGGACAAUAUGAACGGGUUGACAAGAUUAAUGGAAUGACUAGGCUACCAGCUGGACGGGUAGGAUUCCAAAAUCUUUGAGCAUGGUCUUGGCCUUUUGACUGUAUGUUUAUGAAAUUAUAAAAUUCAAGGAACUACAAAGCUUUUUUAUAACUUGAAAUCUUUAGUAGUAAGUGCUUUUUGUUUUCUGAUUGGGAAUGCUUGUAUCAAUGGAAGUAAGUAUUAAUUGCUUUUGUUUUUGUGCUUGAUUGAGCAUGUGUUUUGGUUGUAUGUGUAUAUUUUUG